UCUCUCUCUUCUUUCUCUCACUUCCGCUUAUUUUAGUUGUGCUUGAGUCUUGAUCAGAUUCACAAUCACAUGAGAUCUGUAUGAUAACUAACGAUCAUCUAUCAUUGUUUAUAGUUAUCGCAAAUCCAACCACACAGCACGCAAGUAUUCAAGAGAAGAUCGAUGUAGAUUUCUCAUUUCUAUAGAAAAAACUAAAGAAUCCAUAAAUAAUUCAAAUCAGCUAUAAACCGGACAAUGUAAUGAACACCAAAACACCACCGCCCCCAUAAUCAACAGGCACCGUAAAAUAAAUAAAAUAUUAAAAUAUACUAAAUAAACCCUAACUCCACCCUAAGGUAAUGAAACUCCAGAUCAGAUCUAGAGCGACUCCGAGAUCAGAUUUAAAGCAACAACGACGCAGCGAAGAAUACUAUGGCGGUAGAUCCGCCGAUUGUGACUCUUUUCAACGCGGCGGCGUUAGGAGAAGAAGUCGGAGACUCCCCGG
rnacentral:lncRNA from 1 species